CAUGCCUUCUAUCUGAAAGCCUCUCUCUCUGUCCUGUCUGUAAUAACCACACAUUUACUGCAGUUUUGAACUGUUGCCUGGUCCAACCCUCAACACUUGGCUGCACAGUAACAAACGUUGUUCCACCAGCCGAUGUACGUGCUCAGAAAUUGUCUUUGCUGGUGCCACGUUCUGCACCUGGGCUGGAGUAGCUCCCCAGGGGCGCGCGUGACAGCUCUGGUGGUGACUUCGGCAUGUCAGGCAUACUGCCAGAGCCUGUAGUCGCGGGCACCCGUUGCUGUUACACCUUGAAUAUGACGGUGAGGCCUGCCACGUCCCGCCGGUGCUGGAGGGUGUGCAGUGCAACCUGAAGGCCUAGCUCUCAGGUAUACAGAGAGAUACACUCCAGGGAUCAUUGCAACGUCUAGAUGGCGGAGUGGCUUUUCAUUGCCCCGUUCACGUCCCUCUGACACCAGCAAACCCACGCAAGAUGGGACAGCGGGAAUGCAUAGUCUGCAAGACAACGACGAAGAGGGAGAAGAAACAUAAAUUGGUCACCACAAUGUGCCAAGGGUGUACGCAAGAUGGGACAGCGGGAAUGCAUAGUCUGCAAGACAACGACGAAGAGGGAGAAGAAACAUAAAUUGGUCACCACAAUGUGCCAAGGGUGUGAUGUUGGAUUGUGCCUUGGGGAUUGCUAUAGGCAAUAUCACUUCCUCAAAGAUUUCCAAGUGAACAAGAGGAAGCUCUACAUUCAACACAAUUUGCUAGGCAGGACGGAGGGAGUGUGUCCUUGAAGGAAUCCAACAUUUCAGUCUACAUACGCAUAGUAUUUCACAAGGUGACAGUCCCCUUGGGAAAUGCUGCUCAAUUUACUACGGAAACGACAUCGUCUCGUAGAGUGAUGGGAAAUAUUUCCACAUACGCAUAGUAUUUCACAAGGU